rnacentral:piRNA from 1 species
GCAUCCAUUGUACAUGGCUACUCCAGG